GACGAACGCUGGCGGCGUGCUUAACACAUGCAAGUCGAACGGAAAGGCCCUGCUUUUGUGGGGUGCUCGAGUGGCGAACGGGUGAGUAACACGUGAGUAACCUGCCCUUGACUUUGGGAUAACUUCAGGAAACUGGGGCUAAUACCGGAUAGGAGCUCCUGCUGCAUGGUGGGGGUUGGAAAGUUUCGGCGGUUGGGGAUGGACUCGCGGCUUAUCAGCUUGUUGGUGGGGUAGUGGCUUACCAAGGCUUUGACGGGUAGCCGGCCUGAGAGGGUGACCGGCCACAUUGGGACUGAGAUGAGGCCCAGACUCCUCAGGGAGGCAGGAGUGGGGAAUAUUGCACGAUGGGCGGAAGCCUGAUGCAGCAACGCCGCGUGCGGGAUGACGGCCUUCGGGUUGUAAACCGCUUUCGCCUGUGACGAAGCGUGAGUGACGGUAAUGGGUAAAGAAGCACCGGCUAACUACGUG
rnacentral:rRNA from 1 species